UACAGAGGUCUCAAGCGUUGUUCGGAUUCAUUGGGCGUAAAGGGUGCGUAGGUGGCGGGGUAAGUCAGGUGUGAAAUUUCGGAGCUUAACUCCGAAACUGCAUUUGAUACUGCCUUGCUUGAGGACUGGAGAGGAGACUGGAAUUCACGGUGUAGCAGUGAAAUGCGUAGAGAUCGUGAGGAAGACCAGUGGCGAAGGCGGGAUCCUGGGCCAGUACUGACGCUGAGGAGCGAAAGCGUGGGGAGCAAACAGG
rnacentral:rRNA from 1 species